rnacentral:rRNA from 1 species
AACGUAGGAGGCAAGCGUUAUUCGGAUUUACUGGGCGUAAAGCGUGUGCAGGCGGUCUGGAAAGUUGGAUGUGAAAGCUCCCGGCUUAACUGGGAGAGGUCGUUCAAUACUUCUGGACUAGAGGAUGAGAGAGGGAGGUGGAAUUCCGGGUGUAGUGGUGAAAUGCGUAGAUAUCCGGAGGAACACCAGUGGCGAAAGCGGCCUCCUGGCUCAUUUCUGACGCUCAUACACGAAAGCUAGGGUAG